CUGAGUUCUGGCCAAUGGGAUGCAGGCAGAAUGACAAGCCCAUUUAGACCUUAUUCCUGGAGCUCCCCAGUGAUUUUUGGCACUGUCUCUGUAUUCACACCAUCGGAACAGAACAUUCCAGGAUGCCAGGGUUAGGGAAGUAAGCUAGAACCAUGAGUCAUCACUUAAGGACACUCACUUAGGAAAAGCACUUGAUUGCCUUCAAACUAUGAUGUGAGCAAGAAAUAAAUUUACAUAUGCUAAGCAACCACAAUUUGAGAGUUGUUGCAACAGCCAGUGUUAAUUAUCCUUCUAAAGCAAGUCACCUCUUACAGCCACAGUUUUGUCAACUAAAAAUAAAGAUAAUGCGUGAAUAUUCAAUGAAACAAUGUAUGUGAAAACAUUUGGCACAGACUUGGGGCUCAAUAAAUGCUGGUUAAAAAGCAGUUGUUUCUCACAUAAGCAAUAUUUUCAUUCUACAAAAGAAUUUUUAUUGUUAUUACACAGAUUUCUAUCACAGGAAAAAGACGACCCAACUCCAACUGGCAAGCCAAAUGGGGAUUUUAUUGGCUCCCAGAGCUAGAAAUUUCAAGUGUAGAUUAAGCCUUAGUGCUGAUUUAAUCUAUCCAACAACUCCAAGAACCUGUGUUCUUUCUUCUGCCUGGCUCACUCAAGACCUGGCUCAUCUGUCAUCUCCUCCAAGUUUUCCCACCCCUUCCAUACACACAAAAAAAGGUACUUUGUUACUCUUUCUCUCUUUUUUUGAUCUUGAGAAAAACAUUUGGCCAGUAGGAGGCAUGACCGGAGAUAGGAUGGGAGGAAGGGAGACACCAGGC
rnacentral:lncRNA from 1 species